CUAGAGCCCAAACAUGUUACAAUCAAUCCACAAUGCAAAGUUCAUUCAAAAGAAAAAUUAUUACUUGGGAAGGCACGAAAUUUCUUUGUGUGGAUCAUCACUCAUAUUGUUCUUAU